rnacentral:lncRNA from 1 species
AAAAUUAUACCCCCAUUCCCGAAAAUGUGUAAUAAGUUUAUCGCUUUCAUUUACUUUAUUAUAUCAGUUGAUUGUUAAUUCAAAGAUUAAAAUCAACAUUUUUCAGAAAAGAACAAAAAAAAACAAAUACUCGAUCCAACGUCGAGAAAUUUUCACACAAAAAAAAUUAUAGUCAUUUUCAUAUCCACUUCUCCAUCAUUUUUAAAACUUUCAAAUCAUGUCAUUCUAUUUCG